UCCAAUUCGAAUGAUUGUUUGUCCCUUAAGUAAUAAAAUAAAUUUAUGGAAAAAAAUAUAUAUGUUUUCUGUUUCCAUAAAAAUGAAAAUUAUGAUAGAAUUAGACUGUAAACUGCGGAGUCAUCUUAUAAAACUGUUGUGAAUCUCAAAAUUGGCCAAGAAAACUAUUUUGGAAUUGCAAAAACAGGAUUUUGCAGUAGACAAAAAAAAAUGGACCACGAAAGUACAUAUGAUGGAUCUUGGAACCACAUUUAGACGCUCGGAUAAAGCUCGAUUAACAGUCGAUAGACUGGACCCAGCCAUGCUACUGCUCCUUUAACUCGUCUGGAGGUCGGCAAGGUAGACCCCCGUGGAGGCGAAAAUUUUUCCAUGCGACUCUAACUUCUGCACGGCGAGACAGAAAGAAGACCCACGAAACCAUUGAGUGUACGGUACGGCAAUAGUUUGUACCUCAAUUGGGUCGUGGCGAGCGCGGAGAUGUGAGCCGUUGUGUUGUCAUGAUAGAAAAGCAUUUCUGUCAAACUUUCAAACACCAUCUGGUUUCAUGAUGGUUUAAAAUCCGCAAUCCCUACUGUCGGGUCAUCAUUCAUGCGUACUUUGAAACUAGAAAAGCCAAGCUAAGGAUUUGUUUGUUGCGUCCAAGAGGUCUAAUGGAGUCACUUGAACACAUUUAAAUUGAAAAUUUCCUGAGAGCUGGAUCAGCAGCUGUCCUUGGGCUAGAGUGUUUCAUGAAAUUUUUUGAUGGUCUAUGAGCGGGCUGGGCGCCUCCGUGCCUUUGCCACAUGGAGUAAUAAUCCGUUUAUUGUCAUCUUUGCUCAUAUUGGUUUUGUGAAUUUAUACUUUAUGCUAAAGAUGGAUGUCACUUUAAGGUGUAUUUUUCGUUUCUCUCUCCUACUUACCGAGACGCUUACUAAAAGCCAAUUGGAACGGUCUUUCCAUCAUUUCUUCUUUACGAUGCGGGCUUGCGACUGGCUAUGACGUAGUUUAAAUUCAAUAAUUUCUGAGAUUUUAUAGAUGUGGGUUGGUUUUUAUAGAUAAAGCCAGCAGGAUCGUUCUAUCUAUGUAAAUAUUCUCUGCCUAUCGGACUAUAAAUGUAGUUAUUAAAUCAGCAUUAAAAUAUAUUUCUCAUCAAAAUU